rnacentral:rRNA from 1 species
AGAGUUUGAUCAUGGCUCAGAAUCAACGCUGGCGGCGCGCUUAACACAUGCAAGUCGAACGAGAAAGCCCGCAAGGGUGAGUAAAGUGGCGUACGGGUGAGUAACACGUGGGUAAUCUACCUCUGGGUGGGGAAUAACCCUGGGAAACCGGGGCUAAUACCGCAUAAGACCGAAAGGUGAAAGGGGAAAUUCGCCGAGAGAGGAGCCCGCGGCCGAUUAGCUAGUUGGUGGGGUAAAGGCCUACCAAGGCGAAGAUCGGUAGCCGGCCUGAGAGGGCACACGGCCACACUGGCACUGAAACACGGGCCAGACUCCUACGGGAGGCAGCAGUGGGGAAUCUUGCACAAUGGGGGAAACCCUGAUGCAGCGACGCCGCGUGAGCGAUGAAGCCCUUCGGGGUGUAAAGCUCUUUCGACCGGAACGAUAAUGACGGUACCGGGAGAAGAAGCUGCGGCUAACUACGUGCCAGCAGCCGCGGUAAUACGUAGGCAGCGAGCGUUGUUCGGAGUUACUGGGCGUAAAGCGUGCGUAGGCGGUUUUCUAAGUUUGGUGUGAAAUCUCCCGGCUCAACUGGGAGGGUGCGCCGAAGACUGGGAGGCUGGAGUGUGGGAGAGGUAGGCGGAAUUCCUGGUGUAGCGGUGAAAUGCGUAGAUAUCAGGAGGAACACCUGUGGUGUAGACGGCUUACUGGACCACCACUGACGCUGAGGCACGAAAGCGUGGGGAGCAAACAGGAUUAGAUACCCCUGUAGUCC